rnacentral:rRNA from 1 species
AGAGUUUGAUCCUGGCUCAAGAUGAACGCUAGCUACAGGCUUAACACAUGCAAGUCGAGGGGUAUCAUUUUGGUUUGCUUGCAAACCAAAGCUGGCGACCGGCGCACGGGUGAGUAACACGUAUCCAACCUGCCUCAUACUCGGGGAUAACCUUUCGAAAGAAAGAUUAAUAUCCGAUAGCAUAUAUUUCCCGCAUGGGUUUUAUAUUAAAGAAAUUCGGUAUGAGAUGGGGAUGCGUUCCAUUAGUUUGUUGGGGGGGUAACGGCCCACCAAGACUACGAUGGAUAGGGGUUCUGAGAGGAAGGUCCCCCACAUUGGAACUGAGACACGGUCCAAACUCCUACGGGAGGCAGCAGUGAGGAAUAUUGGUCAAUGGACGCGAGUCUGAACCAGCCAAGUAGCGUGAAGGAUGACUGCCCUAUGGGUUGUAAACUUCUUUUAUAUGGGAAUAAAGUGGUCCACGUGUGGACUUUUGUAUGUACCAUAUGAAUAAGGAUCGGCUAACUCCGUGCCAGCAGCCGCGGUAAUACGGAGGAUCCGAGCGUUAUCCGGAUUUAUUGGGUUUAAAGGGAGCGUAGGCGGAUUGUUAAGUCAGUUGUGAAAGUUUGCGGCUCAACCGUAAAAUUGCAGUUGAUACUGGCAGUCUUGAGUGCAGUAGAGGUGGGCGGAAUUCGUGGUGUAGCGGUGAAAUGCUUAGAUAUCACGAAGAACUCCGAUUGCGAAGGCAGCUCACUGGAGUGUAACUGACGCUGAUGCUCGAAAGUGUGGGUAUCAAACAGGAUUAGAUACCCUGGUAGUCCACACAGUAAAC